UAUAUAUUCGACGGGCAUCAUUCAGUUUCUGUCGACCAAAUCUACUCACAAGGCUUUGGUCAGCCCGAGGCUAUGGUAGAGGUCACUUGCCCAUGGUGUCACGCAGUGGGAUUGAACUCGGAACCGUG